rnacentral:rRNA from 1 species
UGUACACACCGCCCGUCGCUACUACCGAUUGAAUGGCUCAGUGAGGCCUCCGGACUGGCUCAGGGAGGUUGGCAACGACCACCCCGAGCCGGAAAGUUCGUCAAACUCGGUCAUUUAGAGGAAGUAAAAGUCGUAACAAGGUUUCCGUAGGUGAACCUGCGGAAGGAUCAUUA